UGGUAAUGCCGGAUGCUCCAGUUGACCGCAUGGUCCUCUGGGAAAGCUUUUGCGGUAUGGGAUGGGGUCGCGUCCUAUCAGCUUGAUGGCGGGGUAACGGCCCACCAUGGCUUCGACGGGUAGCCGGCCUGAGAGGGCGACCGGCCACAUUGGGACUGAGAUACGGCCCAGACUCCUACGGGAGGCAGCAGUGGGGAAUAUUGCACAAUGGGCGCAAGCCUGAUGCAGCGACGCCGCGUGCGGGAUGACGGCCUUCGGGUUGUAAACCGCUUUUGACUGGGAGCAAGCCCUUCGGGGUGAGUGUACCUUUCGAAUAAGCACCGGCUAACUACGUGCCAGCAGCCGCGGUAAUACGUAGGGUGCAAGCGUUAUCCGGAAUUAUUGGGCGUAAAGGGCUCGUAGGCGGUUCGUCGCGUCCGGUGUGAAAGUCCAUCGCUUAACGGUGGAUCCGCGCCGGGUACGGGCGGGCUUGAGUGCGGUAGGGGAGACUGGAAUUCCCGGUGUAACGGUGGAAUGUGUAGAUA
rnacentral:rRNA from 1 species